CAAGGUUCGCUUCCUCCUGCCCGGGUCAUCAUGGGAGCCCGAGGACGGAGCCGUCCUCACCUCACGUGGAUCCCUGAGUAGGGCGAUGUAGAGAAGAGCCCCCGACCUGAGAGGGAUGUGUGGUGUGAGCGAGAAUCAGCCUUCAAUCAGUUUUAGCCCGAGCUCAUUACCUACUGCUUCCUGCUAUGAAACAAAAAUAUGAGGAUUUAGCUCUGAGACCAGCGCUGCUCACACUUUCGCCCUCCCGCUGCAUCCCGGUAGAGUUUUACCAAGACUUCAUAGACAUAAGAAACUUGCCGUGUUUAUACCACCAGAAUCCGGUAAAAGCGUCCAAAGUGUUCUAAGCAGCUGUAGUGAACGCAACCCCCAAUUCUCAGCCCUGCCUGUAGCCGCCUCUCGAUAUGAUCGCACCAGCAGGAUCCAGCAAGCAUGCUCCCUCCAUUCAGCCAAGGGAGUAAAAAAACGGAAGUCCACGCAAAAAUCCUGCACAUGGGUGUUUAUAGCAGCUUUAUUCAUAAACUGCCAAAACUUGGAAGCAACCAAAGAUAGUCUUCAACAGGGAAAUGAAUAAAAACCUGUGGUAUAUCCAGACAGUGGAAUAUUAGCAAGCCAUGGCAAGACCUGGAGGAACCUUAAAAGCACACUGCUAAGUGAAAGAAGCCAGUCUGAAAAGGCUCCAUACUGGGUGAUUCCAGCUGUCUGACAUUCUGGAAGAGAGAAAACUCUGGAACCUGUAGAUGGAAAGAUCACUGGCCGCAGGGGUUCAGGCGGAGGGAGCGAGGGAUAGGCAGAGCUCAGAUGAGUUUUCGGGCAGUGAAACUGUUCCAUAUGAUAUUGCCGUGGGGGAUAUGAGCCAUUAUGUUUGUCAAAACCCAUAGACUAUGCAACACAGAGAGUGAACCCUCAUGUAAACUGUGGACUUUAGUUAAUAAUAAUGUAUCAAGAUCGGCUCCUCAAUGGUAAC
rnacentral:lncRNA from 1 species